GACGAACGCUGGCGGCGUGCCUAACACAUGCAAGUCGAACGGAGAUGAUGGGAUAGCUUGCUAUUUAAUCAUCUUAGUGGCGGACGGGUGAGUAACACGUGGGCAACCUGCCCCAAAGAGGGGGAUAACACCGAGAAAUCGGUGCUAAUACCGCAUAAUAUUAGAGCUUCGCAUGGAGCUUUAAUCAAAGGAGCAAUCCGCUUUGGGAUGGGCCCGCGUCUGAUUAGCUAGUUGGUGAGGUAACGGCUCACCAAGGCGACGAUCAGUAGCCGAUCUGAGAGGAUGACCGGCCACACUGGAACUGAGACACGGUCCAGACUCCUACGGGAGGCAGCAGUGGGGAAUAUUGCACAAUGGGGGAAACCCUGAUGCAGCAACGCCGCGUGGAGGAAGAAGGUCUUCGGAUUGUAAACUCCUGUCUUCUGGGACGAAUAAUGACGGUACCAGAGGAGGAAGCCACGGCUAACUACGUGCCAGCAGCCGCGGUAAAACG
rnacentral:rRNA from 1 species